rnacentral:rRNA from 1 species
AUUGAACGCUGGCGGCAGGCCUAACACAUGCAAGUCGAACGAGUGGCGGACGGGUGAGUAAUGUCUGGGAAACUGCCUGAUGGAGGGGGAUAACUACUGGAAACGGUAGCUAAUACCGCAUACCAUCAGAUGUGCCCAGAUGGGAUUAGCUUGUUGGUGGGGUAUCGGCUCACCAAGGCAACGAUCCCUAGCUGGUCUGAGAGGAUGACCAGCCAAACGGCAACUGAGACACGGUCCAGACUCCUACGUGAGGCAGAAGUGGGGAAUAUUGGACAAUGGGCGAAAGCCUGAUGCAGCCAUGCCGCGUGUAUGAAGAAGGCCUUCGGGUUGUAAAGUACUUUAAGCGGGGAGGCGGUACCCGCAGAAGAAGCACCGGCUAACUCCGUGCCAGCAGCCGCGGUAAUAC